CAUUGACUGCAUCCAGAUGUAGAUGUUUAGGAGAAUGAGGGGAGGAACUACAUGCUCCGGACCCCCACAAGCCAAAAUAAGCUGCCACCUGCUUCCUGCAUGGUCACAUUUAGAAACAUAUUAUCUCUGAAAGCGAAAUAUCAAUAUCAAAGUUGUAUGUGUUUAUGAAUGGGGAACCAAACUUUCAAAGAUUUCGGGUUGUAGAUCGUGCAUUCAUUACGGUUCUGUUUGGGGUUUCGCUGCCAUCUGCCGACACCUGAUUCGGGAGAUAAACGAGCAUGCAGGAAUAAGUAGUUUCAUAAAGAGAAAACAAUAAAGACAUGAGCAAUAUGUUCUUUUGAAGGAAACUUACCUCAAUUCAUCCUCGGCUGCAGAUCCGCCCCCCCCCCCCGCACAUUGCAUGAAUUCCUCGGAAAGGGCAUCUGACGAGAUUCUGUCAGCAAACUUGAAACAUCUGAUUGUCCGGAGAUUCUUUUACUUCCUCACUUGAACUCGCAUCCAAAUCUGUAGUGCUUCAUAUGUUCUCUAAACCCAUAGGUCAGAUACUUAGGCUCUUAUGCCACCGUUAUGAGUGAAUAUUCUUGAGAUAUCAAGUGGAUGCACCUUCUCAAACUGCAUUGAUUUUAUUUUAUUUUUAUUUUUAUGUAGCAUGCAGGUUAAACAAUUUAUUAUACAGCAGAAGUUUGACGCUAUGAUUUCCAGAAGCCAAAGGAAAAAGGUAAAUCUCACUUCUAACAUGGAACUUGAUGUCAGUAAUUUGGAAUUCUAACUGCAGUGGCGUGUUGUUUAGUGUGCUUUUGUGCGCUAGUGAAUCUUUAUCUGCUUUUGCUUAUAAUUUUGAAGUACUUUUCAUCAUUUUACAUUUUCAAUUUUUUGCAUACGAUAUGAUCACAACAUUUUUAUACGAUUUAUGCUUUGGUAUUUACGAGGACUUGUAUUUUGUUACCAAAAUACUGUAAGAUUUAAAUAACACUCUAAAAAGUCGAUGAGGAAGUAAGUUGAUGCUUACAUGGGAAUAAGUUAGCAAGCUGUUGCCACAUUCUUGUAAUUUUGAAGAUUCAGUGCCACUGGACUUUCUGUUCCUGUUCAGAAUCAGCGAACAAAUAUGAGAACUAGCAAGUUUUUGAAUGCCACAAAUUAUUGUACGAAUGAGUAAGUUACAUUUGACUUUAUGUGCCAUGUGAGAGUUCAGGAGAUAGAUAAACAAAACGAUAUCAAAUAGAUACUUAAACCGCAAUCUUGAGGUCGUACUUUUUCGAGGAAAUUCCUAUAAAAUGGUUAAACAAUAGAUUCAUCCAAUACACCAAACCAUUUUUGAGUGAAGAUUUUGUGUCCCUUCAUCUUGCGAUGUUUAUCAGUUUUUGGACAUGUUAAUUAGAAUUUCUAGAAUUCAUUGCACCUUUCCUCAGCUUUUAUAGAUUCUACUUUCCUUGAGGCUUAGAAGAUCUAGAUCAGGGCAAAGCUAAUCUUUAGAAGUUUAUUCUUAAUAUUUGCGUAGACAGUGGUCAAAUAAGUUCUUAAUUUGGUUUCUAUGGCCACUAUGCAUAGUAUGUUAGCUACGAGUUUCUUAAGAUCAAUUCUGAUUUGUCUUGGCAUGUGUUUAACGCUGGUGACUCUUAAUAAUCUCAAUCCUUCCUAUGUUUCAAUUUCUUUCUCCUCAUUUGGACUUGCAAAUAGUUUUGUAACUCCUAAAUUUGAAGUCGCAAAGUUUUAAAUUGCGGCCAAUGCGUUAUGAAUCGGGAUUCUGGCUCUGAUACUGUUAUUGAUACUGCAAUUGAAAACCUUGAAAGAACAAAAUAUUAACUGAAGAUUCAUGCCAGGCACAUAGACAGAGAGAGCUUACUUGACAGAUUGCGAUUCAUC
rnacentral:lncRNA from 1 species